AACCUGGUUGAUCCUGCCAGUAGUCAUAUGCUUGUCUCAAAGAUUAAGCCAUGCAUGUCUAAGUAUAAGCACUCGUACUGUGAAACUGCGAAUGGCUCAUUAAAUCAGUUAUCGUUUAUUUGAUUGUACUUUACUACAUGGAUACCUGUGGUAAUUCUAGAGCUAAUACAUGCGAAAAAUCCCGACUUCUGGAAGGGAUGUAUUUAUUAGAUUAAAAACCAAUGCGUGCCCUCGGGCGCGUUUUCUUGGUGAUUCAUGAUAACUUUUCGAAUCGUAUGGCCUUGCGCCGGCGAUAUUUCAUUCAAAUUUCUGCCCUAUCAACUGUCGAUGGUAAGGUAGUGGCUUACCAUGGUUAUAACGGGUGACGGAGAAUUAGGGUUCGAUUCCGGAGAGGGAGCCUGAGAAACGGCUACCACAUCUAAGGAAGGCAGCAGGCUCGAAAAUUACCCAAUCCCGACUCGGGGAGGUAGUGACAAGAAAUAACGAUACGGGGUCUUAAUAGGUCUCGCAAUUGGAAUGAGUACAAUUUAAAUCCUUUAACGAGGAUCAAUUGGAGGGCAAGUCUGGUGCCAGCAGCCGCGGUAAUUCCAGCUCCAAUAGC
rnacentral:rRNA from 1 species